UGGCUCUCGCAUCGAUGAAGAACGCAGCGAAAUGCGAUAAGUAAUGUGAAUUGCAGAAUUCAGUGAAUCAUCGAAUCUUUGAACGCACCUUGCGCUCCUUGGUAUUCCGAGGAGCAUGCCUGUUUGAGUGUCAUGGUACUCUCAAUUCUCUCAACUUUUGUUGUUUGAGAAUUGGACUUGGAGGUUGUUGCUGGCGGUUUCUUAUUACCGUCGGCUCCUCUGAAAUGCAUUAGUGUGAAUUCGUUGUUGCACGUUAUUCAGUGUGAUAAUUAUCUGCGCUGUAGACGGUGUUCAACCAAUAAAUCAUUGUGUUUAUUGUUCACGCUUCUAACGGUCUGUUGAAUCAGACAAACACCUUUUGACAUCUGACCUCAAAUCAGGUAGGACUACCCGCUGA
rnacentral:misc_RNA from 1 species